rnacentral:rRNA from 1 species
CAGUCGCCGCGGGAAUACAGAGGGUGCGAGCGUUAAUCGGAUUUACUGGGCGUAAAGCGUGCGUAGGCGGCUUCUUAAGUCGGAUGUGAAAUCUCUGAGCUUAACUUAUGAAUUGCAUUCGAUACUGGGAAGCUAGAGUAUGGGAGAGGAUGGUAGAAUUCCAGGUGUAGCGGUGAAAUGCGUAGAGAUCUGGAGGAAUACCGAUGGCGAAGGCAGCCAUCUGGCCUAAUACUGACGCUGAGGUACGAAAGCAUGGGGAGCAAACAGGAUUAGAUACCCGCGUAGUCCCUGUCUCUUAUAC